CCUACGGGAGGCAGCAGUGGUGAAUAUUGGACAAUGGGGGCAACCCUGAUCCAGCCAUGCCGCGUGUGUGAAGAAGGCCCUCGGGUUGUAAAGCACUUUCAGUGAGGAAGAACGCCUGGUGGUUAAUACCCAUCAGGAAAGACAUCACUCACAGAAGAAGCACCGGCUAACUCCGUGCCAGCAGCCGCGGUAAUACGGAGGGUGCGAGCGUUAAUCGGAAUUACUGGGCGUAAAGCGCGCGUAGGUGGCUUGAUAAGCCGGUUGUGAAAGCCCCGGGCUCAACCUGGGAACGGCAUCCGGAACUGUCAAGCUAGAGUGCAGGAGAGGAAGGUAGAAUUCCCGGUGUAGCGGUGAAAUGCGUAGAGAUCGGGAGGAAUACCAGUGGCGAAGGCGGCCUUCUGGACUGACACUGACACUGAGGUGCGAAAGCGUGGGUAGCAAACAGGAUUAGAUACCCCUGUAGUC
rnacentral:rRNA from 1 species